rnacentral:tRNA from 1 species
GCAUCCGUAGCUCAGCUGGAUAGAGUACUCGGCUACGAACCGAGCGGUCUGAGGUUCGAAUCCUCCCGGAUGCACCA